CCCUAACACUCCCUACACCUACAAUUGCUUAUUCAGUGUCUCUCUUCUCUCCCAGAAUAUAAGCUCCAUGAAGCUUUUUUCCCAGCACCAGCCUACAGACCCUUUACAUCUGAUAUGUGUCCACCCAGAGACUUGGCUUUUUCGUAGCUACAGUAGGUGAUGCAACUGCAUCCUGUCCAUGUUCAGAUUCAGGCUCCAAGAUCCAUCUUCUGCCAGAAGCCAUCAUUCACAAGGGAUGGAGCCCACAGGAUGAUGGCUUGCCCUGGAGGAGAGGAAGAAAUCUGCCAAAAAAAAAAAAAAAAAAGGAACCAAAGGGCCUUGAGUGAGAAAUUGACAGGUGCAGAAGUUAUGCAACAUACUCAAAGACACACAGCAAGUAAAUGGUGAAGCUGGAAUUUGAACUCAAAUUUAUCUGACUGUCAAGCCCAUGCUGGUCCUUCAGGCUGUGUCAGGUUUCCAAACUUCUGGGGUGGGGAAUGGAUCCCAUGUCACUUGACUUCCAAAUUUCCCAGGCAGGAUAACUUUAUGGAGAAGACACCUAUGGAGACCACAAAGCCAACAUGGUCUAUGCCAGAGAUUGAACCAUUAAAGGUUGCAAGCUUUAUCUUUGUGU